GACGAACGCUGGCGGCGUGCUUAACACAUGCAAGUCGAACGGAAAGGCCCUGCUUUUGUGGGGUGCUCGAGUGGCGAACGGGUGAGUAACACGUGAGUAACCUGCCCUUGACUUUGGGAUAACUUCAGGAAACUGGGGCUAAUACCGGAUAGGAGCUCCUGCUGCAUGGUGGGGGUUGGAAAGUUUCGGCGGUUGGGGAUGGACUCGCGGCUUAUCAGCUUGUUGGUGGGGUAGUGGCUUACCAAGGCUUUGACGGGUAGCCGGCCUGAGAGGGUGACCGGCCACAUUGGGAAUGAGCUACGGCCCAGACUCCUACGGGAGGCAGCAGUGGGGAAUAUUGCACAAUGGGCGGAAGCCUGAUGCAGCAACGCCGCGUGCUGGAUGACGGCCUUCGGGUUGUAAACCGCUUUCGCCUGUGACGAAGCGUGAGUGACGGUAAUGGGUAAAGAAGCACCGGCUAACUACGUG
rnacentral:rRNA from 1 species